rnacentral:pre_miRNA from 1 species
AGUGGGAUAGCUGGGCCAAAUGGUGGUUCCAUUCCAAGUUUUCUGAGUAAUCUCCAUACUGCUUUCCAGAGUGGUUUUACCAAUUUGCAGUCCCACUAACAAU